CCUACGGGAGGCAGCAGUGGGGGAUAUUGCACAAUGGGGGGAACCCUGAUGCAGCGACGCCGCGUGGACGAAGAAGUAUUUCGGUAUGUAAAGCCCUAUCAGCAGGGAAGAAGAAAUGACGGUACCUGAGUAAGAAGCACCGGCUAAAUACGAGCCAGCAGCCGCGGCAAUACGUAUGGUGCAAGCGUUAUCCGGAUUUACUGGGUGUAAAGGGAGCGUAGGCGGCACGGCAAGCCUGAUGUGAAAGCCCGCGG
rnacentral:rRNA from 1 species